AGCAGCCGCGGUAAUUCCAGCUCCAAUAGCGUAUAUUAAAGUUGUUGCAGUUAAAAAGCUCGUAGUUGAAUUUCGGGAUCAUCAGGUUGGUCGUGCCUCUGGUAUGUACUGAUUUCGAUGGUUCCUCCUUCUUGAAGAACCGUAAUGCCAUUAAUUUGGUGUUGCGGGGAAACAGGACUGUUACUUUGAAAAAAUUAGAGUGUUUAAAGCAGGCAAUCGCUUGAAUACAUUAGCAUGGAAUAAUGAAAUAGGACGUUCGAUCCUAUUUUGUUGGUUUCUAGGAUUGACGUAAUGAUUAAUAGGGAUAGUUGGGGGCAUUAGUAUUCAAUUGUCAGAGGUGAAAUUCUUGGAUUUAUUGAAGACUAACUACUGCGAAAGCAUUUGCCAAGGAUGUUUUCAUUAAUCAAGAACGAAAGUUAGGGGAUCGAAGACGAUCAGAUACCGUCGUAGUCUUAACCAUGAAUUAUGCCGACUAGGGAUCGGAUGAUGUUAAUUUUUAAUGACUCAUUCGGCGUCCG
rnacentral:rRNA from 1 species